CCCCUUCCGUGCCGUCAUGGACACCGCCGAGCUCCUCCUCCACAAGAUCUGCUACCAGGGCGACCAUGCCGACAACACGUGGUGCUGGUGGUGCCCUACGCUUGCUGCAGCGCGCUCAUCGGCAAAGGAGGCACGCUCAUUGACUUCAGGGUGAGGAGGCGGAGGAGUAAGGGCGCAACCAGCCGGCAGCCCUGUCCUGCUUGAGGGGGGGGCAAGAGGGGUCUGCUCCUCUGCUUCCAUUGCGACCGCGGCAGGAGCAAUGUUGCUGAUGGCGACGGGUACGUGAUGGUGGCUAGUGUGGUGGACGACCCGACCAAACCAAUGAUGCAAGGCUUCUCCUGCUGCUGCAUGUCUUCAUCAACUUAGUUCUUCCACAGGGAGAGAUAAAUUCUUCACUUGUUCACUGUGUAAUCUGCAGAUUACUUCCAUUAAUCACCUAGUGCUCCUGUUAGUGAGAUUCAUCUAGUAUUUCUUUUUGCAAAGCAUGCAAUGGUCUGGAGUACUUGAUCAUGACCUGAUGGAACAUGUCGUUACAGCAGCUAGAAGCAAUCCAUUUUAUUAAAUGCAUUCUAGUUAGGAUUCGGUCAUGGCAACACCUUGCUAUUUUCUUUUCUUUAAAUCUGGUUGCAAGUUUACUAUUUUUCCAGAACCAUCAUCUUACAUUUUGGGCAGCGGGCAUUGAAAUUUAGGCAUUUAUGUAUAAUUUUAGUUCUGGAUGUGUCCUAUGCAAACAUUACUAUCAAUUGUCAAGUUGAUUCUAAAAUGUCUCAUUAACUAAAUUUUAGAUGGUGAUUUCUAGAUUUAGUACCAAUUUAUUGUUGGCCUGGCCUAUGCUCAAUACCUUGCUCUAUACCAAUUUAUUUCAUUAUUUUGUUAUUUACGGUUAAAUAUGCUAUCAUUAGCUCUGAGAAAAUGUUAUGUUUUUGCUGAUUAGUGGCAGUACAUCUUUGCUUUACUAUUCCUAGCAGCUGCAGUUCAUCUACCAUAAACAUGUUGUGUACAUUCUGAACCCCCAAACAUGACACAAGUGGAAUGUAACUUGUACAAUUUUUACUUGAAUAUGUUCAGUUAUGAAGUCGUGUAGUUGUUUUUUCUCAUCAGUUCUAAACUGCAGUACUUUACUGAAUUGUUGAUGAUCCUGAAUGAAUCUAGCUUGUUGGGUUCAGUCUCUUGUUUAGUUGGAAUAGCACCCCAUCACCUGUUGUUGUUGUUGUUAUUCACCCUAUCCUUGCUGUUCUGUUUUCUUGUUGGAAAAUAUUUUGAGUAAAUUCAAGACGAAAGAUGUUCAAAGAAGCUCCAAGACAUUCUUAUAUAGCAAGUUAUGUAAUAAUAGCUGGGUUAUCUGGGAAUUUAAUGUAUCUUCUCUCUGUUUGUGAAUGAAAUAGUAAUUAUGUAUGUGAAUU